rnacentral:rRNA from 1 species
GACGAACGCUGGCGGCGUGCUUAACACAUGCAAGUCGAACGGAAAGGCCCUGCUUUUGUGGGGUGCUCGAGUGGCGAACGGGUGAGUAACACGUGAGUAACCUGCCCUUGACUUUGGGAUAACUUUAGGAAACUGGGGCUAAUACCGGAUAGGAGCUCCUGCUGCAUGGUGGGGAUUGGAAAGUUUCGGCGGUUGGGGAUGGACUCGCGGCUUAUCAGCUUGUUGGUGUGGUAGUGGCUUACCAAGGCUUUGACGGGUAGCCGGCCUGAGAGGGUGACCGGCGACAUUGGGACUGAGAUACGGCCCAGACUCCUACGGGAGGCAGCAGUGGGGAAUAUUGCACAAUGGGCGGAAGCCUGAUGCAGCAACGCCGCGUGCGGGAUGACGGCCUUCGGGUUGUAAACCGCUUUCGCCUGUGACGAAGCGUGAGUGACGGUAAUGGGUAAAGAAGCACCGGCUAACUACGUG